UACGUAGGGUGCGAACGUUGUUCGGAAUCACUGGGCAUAAAGAGCGCGUAGGCGGUCUGAUAAGUCCUGUGUGAAAGACCCCGGCUUAACCGAGGAAUUGCACAGGAUACUGUUGGGCUAGAGUGCAGGAGGGGAGAGCGGAAUUCCUGGUGGAGCGGUGAAAUGCGUAGAUAUCAGGAGGAACGCCAGCGGCGAAAGCGGCUCUCUGGUCUGUUACUGACGCUGAGGCGCGAAAGCUAGGGGAGCAAACGGG
rnacentral:rRNA from 1 species